GCCGCUGUAGCUAACUUGUUAGAGCGUGGGUCUAAUAAGCCCAAGGUCGUAGAAGCGAUCCCUGCCAGCGGCA
rnacentral:tRNA from 1 species